rnacentral:rRNA from 1 species
AUGCAGAACCAGAUGGAAGAAGAAGACACCGAUGUUGAAAGGGGUCAUGCCGAUGAUUCUGACGAGUCAGAUGAAGAAGAAAAUGCAGAGGAGGUCCCGAAUCCUGCAUGGUGGAAUCAUGACUUAUCAUCUGCAAUGACCGUGAAUGAUGGACAUGAUUCAGCCUGGCAAUAUCACCAGAACAAUAUUGCGACGGGUGCUAUGUAUCCGAACAAGCAAGCCCUGAAGGAUGCAAUAAUUAAUUGGGCAAUGUCCACGCAAAGGGUUUUCAAAGCUGAGGUGUCCAGUCAGAAAUUCCUCACAAUGGUAUGCAAGAACGCAGAUUGUCCCGCAAGGGUGCACGGCUUUCUCCCUAAGUAUAGCACAAGUUGGGUGAUAAGUGACUUAGUUAAUCACACUUGUCUUAUUCCCUGCAUCCCUCAAGAUCAUGCCAACCUUUCAUCCACGCUUAUUGCUCGACUGUUUUACGAUGAGAUAGUGCAAGGCAAAGCUAUGGAAGUGAAGGCAGUGCAGACAAAAGUGUUCGCCAGGUUGAAGUACAGAAUUUCUUAUGGCAAGGCUUGGAGGGCUAAGCAUGCAGCGCUUGAGAGGAGAUUUGGUUCUUAUUUUGAUGCAUAUGACUCUGUUGUCCACCUCCUCCACACCCUGCAGCAGCGGAAUCCAGGCACCUAUAUCGAUAUCCAAGACAUGUUCAUGCCAGAGUUCCCAACUGUGAGGGUUUUGCAUCGUCUCUUCUUCUCUUUCGGUGUAUGCAUCGAAGCUUUCAGGCAUUGCCGACCGAUGAUAUGUGUUGACGGUACUUUUCUCACAGGCAAGUACAAGGGUCAGAUCCUGACAGCCAUAGGUCAAGACGGCCAAAAUCAAGUCGUCCCAUUGGCAUUUGCUUUUGUGGAGAGUGAGAACAUUGAAAGUUGGACAUGGUUCUUCGGGCAGUUGAAAAUAUCAGUUGUUAAGGAGAAGCCCAAUGUGUGCAUCCUUCAUGACAGGCAUGCAGGUAUACUCAGUGCGAUAAGGACACUGACAAACCCAGGCCCUGAGGAACAAGUUCCAUGGCAGGACUUGCAGAGCCGUUGGUGCAUGCGCCAUCUCGGGGCUAAUUUCUUCUCGCAGUUUAGAAAUAAGAACCUGAUGAAUCUGUUCAAAAAACUCUGCAAGCAGAACUAG